UACGUAGGGUCCAAGCGUUAUCCGGAUUUAUUGGGUUUAAAGGGUGCGUAGGCGGCCAAUUAAGUCAGGGGUGAAAGACGGUAGCUUAACUAUCGCAGUGCCUUUGAUACUGAUUGGCUUGAAUACACUAGAGGUAGGCGGAAUGUGACAAGUAGCGGUGAAAUGCAUAGAUAUGUCACAGAACACCAAUUGCGAAGGCAGCUUACUAUGGUGUGAUUGACGCUGAGGCACGAAAGCGUGGGGAUCAAACAGG
rnacentral:rRNA from 1 species